rnacentral:rRNA from 1 species
CGACCUCUGCCGUUGUACGAAAAUUGGAUGAACUUGGCCAUUUAGAGGAAGUACAAGUCGUAACAAGGUUUCCGUAGGUGAACCUUCGGAAGGAUCAUUA